AGAGUUUGAUCAUGGCUCAGAGCGAACGUUAGCGGCGCGCCUAACACAUGCAAGUCGCACGAGAAAGGGGGCAACCCCCGGUACAGUGGCGCACGGGUGAGUAACACGUGGAUGACCUGCCCUGGAGUGGUGGAUAACCUUCCGAAAGGAGGGCUAAUACAGCAUGAGACCACGCGCCUGCGGGCGCGGGGUCAAAGUGGGCCUCUAUUCAUAAGCCCACGCUCUGGGAGGGGUCCGCGGCCCAUCAGCUCGUUGGUGAGGUAAUGGCUCACCAAGGCAUCGACGGGUAGCUGGUCUGAGAGGAUGGCCAGCCACACUGGAACUGAGACACGGUCCAGACUCCUACGGGAGGCAGCAGUGGGGAAUCUUGCGCAAUGGGCGAAAGCCUGACGCAGCGACGCCGCGUGGGUGACGAAGGCCUUCGGGUUGUAAAGCCCUGUGGGGAGGAACGAACCGGCGCCGGGGGAACAUCCCGGCGCCCUGACGGUACCUCCUUAGCAAGCACCGGCUAACUCUGUGCCAGCAGCCGCGGUAAGACAGAGGGUGCAAACGUUGCUCGGAAUUACUGGGCGUAAAGCGCGUGUAGGCGGUGUGGUCAGUCGGGUGUGAAAGCCCAGGGCUCAACCCUGGAAGCGCCCUCGAUACUGCCACGCUGGGGUCUUGAAGAGGAGAGCGGAAUUCCCGGUGUAGAGGUGAAAUUCGUAGAUAUCGGGAGGAACACCAGUGGCGAAGGCGGCUCUUUGGGCAAUGACCGACGCUGAGACGCGAAAGCGUGGGGAGCAAACAGGAUUAGAUACCCUAGUAGUCC
rnacentral:rRNA from 1 species